GGAGGGUGCGAGCGUUAAUCGGAAUUACUGGGCGUAAAGCGCGCGUAGGCGGCUUGAUAAGCCGGUUGUGGAAGCCCCGGGCUCAACCUGGGAACGGCAUCCGGAACUGUCAGGCUAGAGUGCAGGAGAGGAAGGUAGAAUUCCCGGUGUAGCGGUGAAAUGCGUAGAGAUCGGGAGGAAUACCAGUGGCGAAGGCGGCCUUCUGGACUGACACUGACGCUGAGGUGCGAAAGCGUGGGUAGCAAACAGGAUUAGAUACCCUGGUAGUCCACGCCGUAAACGAUGUCUACUAGCCGUUGGGCUCCUUGAGAGCUUUGUGGCGCAAUUAACGCGAUAAGUCGACCGCCUGGGGAGUACGGCCGCAAGGUUAAAACUCAAAUGAAUUGACGGGGGCCCGCACAAGCGGUGGAGCAUGUGGUUUAAUUCGAUGCAACGCGAAGAACCUUACCUACCCUUGACAUCGAGAGAACUUUCCAGAGAUGGAUUGGUGCCUUCGGGAACUCUCAGACAGGUGCUGCAUGGGUGUCGUCAGCUCGUGUUGUGAAAUGUUGGGUUAAGUCC
rnacentral:rRNA from 1 species